CCUACGGGGGGCUGCAGUGGGGAAUCUUAGACAAUGGGGGAAACCCUGAUCUAGCCAUGCCGCGUGAUCGAUGAAGGCCUUAGGGUUGUAAAGAUCUUUCAGUGGGGAAGAUAAUGACUGUACCCACAGAAGAAGCCCCGGCUAACUCCGUGCCAGCAGCCGCGGUAAUACGGAGGGGGCUAGCGUUGUUCGGAAUUACUGGGCGUAAAGCGCACGUAGGCGGAACAGAAAGUCAGAGGUGAAAUCCCAGGGCUCAACCUUGGAACUGCCUUUGA
rnacentral:rRNA from 1 species